rnacentral:lncRNA from 1 species
AACUUCUGACGAGCGCAGGCUCGGGCUCAGGCUCCGACACGGGCUCUGGCCCCCGGCCUGGCUUGGCGGCCCGGCCGGGUCCCCUCGGCGCGGGAUGGGCACGGACCCUCAGCAUCAGCCGAGAUGGCAGGCGGGCUGGAGACCCCGAGGCCCGGUCACCGCCGCGCAGAGCGUGGCCGCCUCGCUGCUCCAGCACGGCUCGCCCAGGGCCGACUGGGGCGGCUUGGACCCCCCUCCCACCCACCCCACCCACCCACCCCUCCCCCACACCCCCGCCCCCUGCCCUUCCCGAGGGCAGCAGCCGCGGCCCGGAGAUAAGCGCUAGUGCGGCGCCGGGCUCUGCCUGGGCUAGUGGCACCGACUUGGGAAAAGGAAACGCCAAGACAUAGAAAACCACGCUUUUCCCGUAGGAAGAACCGAUGAUGAGCCCUGAUGAAAGAAGGAAGAAGACCCGCUGUCUGCGAAGGCCUAAAGGCCGCGGUUGCCAGGAACCGUGGAGGGCCAACUCCUCCCAACCGCCCUGGUGCAAAGUCCCACGCGGCGAAGAGUUUUGGAGCAGCGCUUACCUAGAAAGAUGUUUAAAUUCUGAACCAGGAAUUGUCUCCAACUCCAGGCGCUCAGGGAAUCGCCUUUUCCGGUGUCCAGGCGCUCUGCAGACAAAUAAACAGCAGAAGGUGAAUGGCGGCUGCGAGGGAAGGGAGUUGGAGGCCGGGAGUGGGAAGCGAGGCUCAUGCGGGCGCCAAGGU